rnacentral:rRNA from 1 species
GACGUAGGGCGCGAGCGUUGUCCGGAUUUAUUGGGCGUAAAGAGCUCGUAGGCGGCUUGUCGCGUCGUCUGUGAAAUCCCGCGGCUCAACUGCGGGCCUGCAGUCGAUACGGGCAGGCUAGAGUGUGGUAGGGGAGAUCGGAAUUCCUGGUGUAGCGGUGAAAUGCGCAGAUAUCAGGAGGAACACCGGUGGCGAAGGCGGAUCUCUGGGCCAUUACUGACGCUGAGGAGCGAAAGCGUGGGGAGCGAACAGG